GUGUGUGUGUGUGUGUGUGUGUGUGUGUGUGUGUGUGUGUGUGUGUGUGUGUGUGUGUGUGUGUGUUGCCCAAACAGGUUCCAACAAGGUUUCAUUCCAUAGUUCAAAUGUGUCCCAAUCAUGAUGUCAUGAUGAUGCCAUUCGCAUUAUCCGUUAUCUGUAGAUAAACUUCAUGAAAGUGUAAUACUUAAGCAAUACUAAACUGCCAUGUUAAAGGCUGAGUUCAUAUUUUUUCAAGUCAACACCUCGAUGCUCAUAUGGACAUUGAAGGUGUUAUUGGUGGCUGUAAUUGUCCCUGGUGUCCAUACCGGCAGUGUACAGAGCCCUUCUGAUGCAUUCCAACGCCAGUGACUGGGGAUACGAUCCAGAGUAGCCCUCAGUGCAAAUGCAUUGGAAAGAACAGUUUAAGCUAAUGUGAGGCUUAGGGCUGGGUAUCCCUCAAAAAGGUACCUAUUCCAAUACCGUGACUUUGAUACCGGUCCCUAAACAAUACUUUUUUUCAAUACCAAUUCUCAAAAAGAAAUUACAACAUUACACAUUAUGGCACAAAUCUUUAUUUUUUAUUUUUUAGCUCCUACUAUGUCAUCCCGUCUCUGUGUGACGUAGAGUUCUUCCUGCGUGUCUCUUGCAGUUUGACAAAUUAAGUGAGAUGUCUUUGUCCGCCCCCUGCUGCUGUGUACAUAGGACUAGCAUCAUGCUAAUGCCAGGGAAAGCUAUAAUCUUGUCUGCCAUUGUUGUUAAUUUCUCCCCAAUUUCUGGUCACAUUCCUGCUGGAACAUGUCUGGUUGGGUAGUAUUUGGUUUAGAAGCCUUUAUUGGUGAUGUUUCACGGUACAAAGUCUCGUGGACAUGCGGGAGCAUGCUGACCAAUCAGAGCAGACUGGGCUUCUUCAGUAGGGGGUUUAAAGAGACAGCGCUCCAGCAGAGCGUCUCCGACAGAGGAUAAAUACAGGUGCAGCAGCCAUGGGCAGUAUGAGAAAGAUAAAGUGUUUUUUGAACAUUAAAGCAUGUAAACAUGUCCUAGUACAAACACAAAAUACAAGUAUGAACUUGAAAACAGUAUAUAAUAGGUCUCCUUUAAGGUAUCAAGAACAGUGGCCCAGAUACAGCCAAAGUUUGAGGGGUUUCUUCCUAACAGAAUACAGUAUUUUCUCAGGAGGAUACAAGUUCAUUGAUCCAGUGUUUCCACACUGGGGAUUUUUCAGAUUGCCAAUUUUUAAGUAUACUUUUUUUGGCUGCAGUGCUUGCAAGAUAAAAUAUUUCUCAUGAGUCAUCAGCCAGUAUCCAGACUUUAGGUUCAAAGUCAAAAUGAGAUUUCAAGAUUUCAGAAACUAUUGCAAUACAUCUUUUUUUUCAAAAGGCCUCUAGGACUGGCCGGCUCCGGAGGAUGUGAAGAAGACGUUUUACAUCUCUGAAACAUGGCUCAGAACCAGGCACUAUUCAGCUACUGCAGUUUAUAGGGAGUAUAGUAUCAUACUAUACUAUGGUCUGUGUCAAAUGUCUGUUUGGUGGCUACCAAUACAGAUUUUUCUAGGAGACCAUCAUCAUAAGAACACUAUGUAGAAGUCUGGUAUCAAGCAACCACAUUUCCAAUGGGGAUUUCCUCAGUGUAACACUUUACAAUAAGGUACA